AUGCUGAGAAUGGAGAAGGAAAGAACAGGUGGCUGCUUUUCUAGUGUGUGUUGGGUAGUUUUUAACAAAGGGGGCUGGAACAACAAAAGUAACUUUGAAGAGCUGAGUCAUGUUGCAAAAGUUGGGCACAUUGCCUCCAGGCUAAUUACCUUCCACAGCUUGACAAAUCCAUUGGAACACACUUCGCAUGUCUUGGGCUUUGUCUACGAUCCAGCUGUUGACAUUGCUGAAAUCGAGAAUGCACAUACGUCAUUACAACGGGAAUUACAAGCCCUGGCUGGACCUUGCCAUGUCCAAGUACAAGGCCUACUGGUCCAAGUAUGA
rnacentral:rRNA from 1 species